rnacentral:rRNA from 1 species
CGCGAAGAACCUUACCAGGUCUUGACAUCUAGUGCCAUUUGUAGAGAUACAAAGUCCCCUUCGGGGACGCUAAGACAGGUGGUGCAUGGCUGUCGUCAGCUCGUGUCGUGAGAUGUUGGGUUAAGUCCCGCAACGAGCGCAACCCUUGUUAUUAGUUGCCAGCAUUAAGUUGGGCACUCUAAUGAGACUGCCGGUGACAAACCGGAGGAAGGUGGGGAUGACGUCAAGUCAUCAUGCCCCUUAUGACCUGGGCUACACACGUGCUACAAUGGGCAGUACAACGAGAAGCGAGCCUGCGAAGGCAAGCGAAUCUCUGAAAGCUGUUCUCAGUUCGGACUGCAGUCUGCAACUCGACUGCACGAAGCUGGAAUCGUUGGUAAUCGCGGAUCAGCACGCCGCGGUGAAUACGUUCCCGGGUCUUGUACACACC